AGCUUGCUUCUCUGAUGUUAGCGGCGGACGGGUGAGUAACACGUGGAUAACCUACCUAUAAGACUGGGAUAACUUCGGGAAACCGGAGCUAAUACCGGAUGAUAUUUUGAACCGCAUGGUUCAAAAGUGAAAGACGGUCUUGCUGUCACUUAUAGAUGGAUCCGCGCUGCAUUAGCUAGUUGGUAGGGUAACGGCUUACCAAGGCAACGAUGCAUAGCCGACCUGAGAGGGUGAUCGGCCACACUGGAACUGAGACACGGUCCAGACUCCUACGGGAGGCAGCAGUAGGGAAUCUUCCGCAAUGGGCGAAAGCCUGACGGAGCAACGCCGCGUGAGUGAUGAAGGUCUUCGGAUCGUAAAACUCUGUUAUUAGGGAAGAACAUAUGUGUAAGUAACUGUGCACAUCUUGACGGUACCUAAUCGGAAAGCCACGGCUAACUACGUGCCAGCAGCCGCGGUAAUACGUAGGUGGCAAGCGUUAUCCGGAAUUAUUGGGCGUAAAGCGCGCGUAGGCGGUUUUUUAAGUCUGAUGUGAAAGCCCACGGCUCAACCGUGGAGGAUCAUUGGAAACUGGAAAACUUGAGUGCAGAAGAGGAAAGUGGAAUUCCAUGUGUAGCGGUGAAAUGCGCAGAGAUAUGGAGGAUCACCAGUGGCGAAGGCGACUUU
rnacentral:rRNA from 1 species